rnacentral:rRNA from 1 species
CCUACGGGAGGCAGCAGUGGGGAAUAUUGGACAAUGGGGGCAACCCUGAUCCAGCAAUGCCGCGUGCGUGAAGAAGGCCUUAGGGUUGUAAAGCGCUUUCGCCCGCGACGAUGAUGACGGUAGCGGGAGAAGAAGCCCCGGCUAACUCCGUGCCAGCAGCCGCGGUAAUACGGAGGGGGCGAGCGUUGUUCGGAAUUACUGGGCGUAAAGCGCGCGUAGGCGGAUUAGAAAGUUGGGGGUGAAAUCCCGAGGCUCAACCUCGGAACUGCCUCCAAAACUGCUAGUCUAGAGUUCGAGAGAGGUGAGUGGAAUUCCGAGUGUAGAGGUGAAAUUCGUAGAUAUUCGGAGGAACACCAGUGGCGAAGGCGGCUCACUGGCUCGAUACUGACGCUGAGGUGCGAAAGUGUGGGGAGCAAACAGGAUUAGAUACCCUGGUAGUCCACACCGUAAACGAUGAAUGCCAGUCGUCGGAUAGUAUACUAUUCGGUGACACACCUAACGGAUUAAGCAUUCCGCCUGGGGAGUACGGUCGCAAGAUUAAAACUCAAAUGAAUUGACGG